UGCACAAUAUUUUCGCAAAUUAGUACGAAAACUUGCAACGUAGGCAUUGUAACAAAUAGCCACGCUUAUGACAUUUUCCAGCAGGCUGACGUCCCCACCUGCGCGAUGGAAGUCGUCGUCCAAGACGAGGCUGCGGGCGUGAGCACAGCGACACCGGCAGAGGAUCCACCGCGCGGCGCGGCGCCUACCGAAAGGGUGGCCGCUGCACCUGUGUUGCAGCACCCUGCUCGGCCACCACGUCGACAGCGACCGCGACGGGUGGAUACCCUGACGACGAUGUCGUCGCAGUGCGCCCGCAGCCUGGAACAGGGCGACGAGGUACUGCAGGUUGGUAGGCCCUUUGGUGUCAUUUUACAUGAAGGACAUAAAUAUUCUUUAUGCUUUGUUAUAAGUAAAUCAUGAAUCUGAAAAACAAAUCAGCUUGGGAUGUAAACAAGAAAUAUGCGUUGUAUAGAGGGCUCGGUAACGUGUCUUGCCAACGAUCAGCCGCCGGACGAAAAGUUGGUUAGCCCUGAAAAGGGCUGUUUGAUGGUGAGAGAUGCAUUAGAGUAGAUGACGGAAGAGUAGUUCCAGCAGGUCUUUGUCUGUCCAAACGAAGA